UGUAAAUCACCUUUGAAAAACAAUGAGCUGUAGAUAGACAAGAUAUUGCUAUUUACAUCAUUCCAACACUAUGUCUCAGCUGACAAUAAUUCACAACAUGAUGGUGAUUUGAAUAUGAAAGCUUUGGUCCUGAAGAAACAAAGACAUUUUAUUCUCUUUCUCCUUGUUCCCCAGGAGAGGUGCAUCUUAUGAGGAGGAUGGUCCCGCCUGCCCUUUGGGACCUUGGACCUCUGCCUCUCCAUGCUUUGGACUAUUGAUCUGCAAGCCCAGGGAAAUCUUAAGUGGCCCCAAUAGGAAAGUCCCGGUUGGACCUGGAUUCUCCCCAGCCCCGUGUCUUAUGUUCGAAGGCGGGAAGCCCCCAGACGGUGCUUCUGUCUACUACAGUGCUCAUAGAUGAUCAACAACUGCAAUCUGUGCCUGACUUCAAGAUGCCCCUGUCUCUCCUACACCUUACUGACUCCCUGGAAACUGAGAAUUCAUUCAUUCACCUUAACUUGUCCCCAGAAAAAAGAUUAUGAAGACUCUUCUUGAUGGAAUUUUUUUUGGAAAAUGAGGAUUCAACUGACAACUCUCAGUUUGCUGUCAAUAAUGGUUUCUCUUUGACUCUCUUCCUGCAAGCCUUUGACCCACAGAUUUCACAAAUGUUCCACUGUGGAGUCAUGAAGGAGAAAUGAAAAAAUCUGAACCCAAAUGUGAGGUUGCUUUCAUCUGUUGUUUGUUUCUUUCCCAAAGUUAACUUGGUUGGAGACAAAAGAAAGAAUUUGCAAGAAAAAGCAUUCCCUUCACUCUCCUUGUCCUCUUUUUCCUCCUCCUCAAGACAUCCUGCUCAGAUUGGUUACGAAACAUCUUGGCUCUGUGUGGCGACAAGAGGUCUCAGGUAAUUAACACGGAGUUAACUUUGGUUCCUGGUAGCGGGCCCAUCCUUGAGAGCCCGGUCUAGGCCCAAUACCAUCAGCUGUGGCCAAGUGGGGCAGCUUGGAUGCUGUAUCCACCGUCAGCAGGCCGGAGGUGUUGCUGGUGGCAUUGUUAGCAUUCCUCAUAGAUCUUGGCUUUGGCUUAGGUGCCCAGAGAUGGCAAACGUCUUUGAAUUGUUGACUUCCUCUCUGGAGUCCCUGUGGUACUGGAUUAGGGGUUAGGCGGUGACAUCAAGGCCUCAGACCUAGGGGAGGCGACCCUCAUUCAUUCAUUAAUUCAUUCAAUAGUAUUUAUUGAGCGCUUACUAUGUGCAGAGCACUGUACUAAGCUCUUGGAAUGAACAAGUCGGCAACAGAUAGAGUCCCUGCCGUUUGACGGGCUUACAGUCUAAUCGGGGGAGACAGACAGACAGACAAGAACAAUGGCAAUAAAUAGAGUCAAGGGGAAGAACAUCUCAUAAAAACAAUGGCAACUAAAUAGAAUCAAGGCGAUGCACAUUUCAUUAACAAAAUAAAUAGGGUAAUGUAAAUAUAUACAGUUGAGCGGAUCAAAGGGGGAGGAGGAAUGACAUGACCCUUGACUCCCAGUUGCUGGCUGGGGUGUUAUGAGCCGGGAAUCCUGGGAGAGAGGCACUACAGCAAAGAAAACUAGGAACCAUCCUCCUGAGAGGCAAACAGGCUCAGCUAGGAUGCUUGUAACUGGGGGCAGAAGGAUUUCCAGAAGGGCAUCUGUUGCUUCAUGGUGACUCCACCAGCAACUCCAGGCCAAAGACCCAUCGGUUGUAGCAAAGGGCCCCCCCACAGAUACUGGAGCCCACUGGGAUCCUGGGGUUCUCCUAAAUGCUAAUUGGUACCAUCUGGCUAGGCAGUGAUGCACUUGUAGACAAAGAAACAAAAACCUGAAUCAAGAAGACUUAUCCCUUGGGUGAUUGCCAGUUAGAGAAUGGCAAUGACAUAGAAUCAAGCAACAGCUCAAAGACUGUAGGGCUGGGCAAUUUUCUAUUUGGUAAUGAAAUGUGUACCCAUCACAGAUAGCAUAUAUAUUAUCAAUAAUAAUAAUAAUAAUAAUUGUGGUACUUGUUAAGCCUUACUAUGUGCCAAGCACUGUUGUAAGUGCUGGGGUAGAUAUAAGUUAAUCAGGUUGGACAUGGUUCCUGUCCCACACGGAGCUCACGCUCUUAAUCCCCAUUUUCCAGAUGAGGUAACUGAGGCCCAGAGAAGUUAAAUGACUUGUCGAAGGUCACACAGCAGAUAUGUAACAGAGUGGGUUUAGAUCCCAGGUUCUUCUGACUCCCGGG
rnacentral:lncRNA from 1 species